UCCUACGGGAGGCAGCAGUGGGGAAUAUUGCACAAUGGGCGCAAGCCUGAUGCAGCCAUGCCGCGUGAGUGAUGAAGGCCUUAGGGUUGUAAAACUCUUUCAUCGGUGAAGAUAAUGACGGUAGCCGAAGAAGAAGCCCCGGCUAACUCCGUGCCAGCAGCCGCGGUAAUACGGAGGGGGCAAGCGUUGUUCGGAAUUACUGGGCGUAAAGCGCGCGUAGGCGGGCUGGUCAGUUGGGGGUGAAAUCCCGAGGCUUAACCUCGGAACUGCCUUCAAUACUGCCAGUCUUGAGUUCGGAAGAGGUGAGUGGAAUUCCUAGUGUAGAGGUGAAAUUCGUAGAUAUUAGGAAGAACACCAGUGGCGAAGGCGGCUCACUGGUCCGAUACUGACGCUGAGGUGCGAAAGCGUGGGGAGCGAACAGGAUUAGAUACCCUGGUAGUCCACGCCGUAAACGAUGGUCACUAGCUGUUCGGGGAACAAUGGUUUUCUGAGUGGCUAAGCGAAAGUGAUAAGUGACCCACCUGGGGAGUACGCUCGCAAGAGUGAAACUCAAAGGAAUUGACGGGGA
rnacentral:rRNA from 1 species